AAAAGUAAAACGUGGUAGCAGACUAGUUAGUAGGCUGGUAUUCCAUUUCUAAUUUUUUUACUUUUUCGCUGUGACUGCCUUUACCUUUGCCUUAGCUUGAAUUAUUUUAUUUAUUUUAUCAUGUUUGUUUAAUAUUAGGGGUUGGGUGCUGCCGUAAAUCGUAAAUUGAAGCUGGAUUGAGGUUAUAUUCAUAAUUUAUGGCCGCCCACGGAGCAACGAAGAAUCCAAGACUCUUCCUUUCCUUGUUCUUAACUUGUCUAGUUUAGUCAUUACUCAUUAGUGUAAGUAGUACGUUCUUUGUUGUUGUUGAGUUGUACUUGUAUGUAUGAUAAUGGUUAACUUAGUUCUUGAAUUUUGUGUUUAAUAACCC
rnacentral:lncRNA from 1 species